UCCCGGCUAACUACGUGCCAGCAGCCGCGGUAAAACGUAGGGGACAAGCGUUAUCCGGAUUCACUGGGCGUAAAGAGCGUUGAGGCGGUUCCGUAAGUUGGGCGUGAAAGCUCCGGGCUUAACCCGGAGAUGUCGUUCAAUACUGCGGGGCUUGAGGACAGCAGAGGAAGGUGGAAUUCCCGGUGUAGUGGUGAAAUGCGUAGAUAUCGGGAGGAACACCCGUGGCGAAGGCGGCCUUCUGGGCUGUUCCUGACGCUGAAGGCGAAAGCUAGGGGAGCGAACGGGAUUAGAUACCCCGGUAGUCCUAGCUGUAAACGAUGGAUGCUGGGUGUGGGGGGUGUAAAUUCCCUCUGUGCCGAAGCAAACGCGUUAAGCAUCCCGCCUGGGGACUACGGCCGCAAGGCUAAAACUCAAACGAAUUGACGGGGGCCCGCACAAGCAGCGGAGCGUGUGGUUUAAUUCGAUGCUACACGAAGAACCUUACCUGGGUUUGACAUGCACGUGGUAGGGAACCGAAAGGGGACCGACCUUCGGGAGCGUGCACAGGUGCUGCAUGGCUGUCGUCAGCUCGUGCCGUGAGGUGUCGGGUUAAGUCCCGUAACGAGCGCAACCCUUGCCCUUAGUUACAAGUGUCUAAGGGGACUGCCCGGGACAACUGGGAGGAAGGUGGGGAUGACGUCAAGUCAGCAUGGCCUUUAUAUCCAGGGCUACACACACGCUACAAUGGCCAGUACAAUAGGUAGCCAAGUCGUGAGACGGAGCCAAUCCUUAAAGCUGGUCUCAGUUCGAAUUGCAGUCUGCAACUCGACUGCAUGAAGCUGGAGUUGCUAG
rnacentral:rRNA from 1 species